rnacentral:rRNA from 1 species
CACGCAGGCGGUUUGGUAAGUCAGGGGUGAAAGCCCACAGCUUAACUGUGGGAUUGCCUCUGAUACUGCCUUUCUGGAGUGCAGGAGAGGGAAGCGGAAUUCCGAGUGUAGAGGUGAAAUUCGUAGAUAUUCGGAGGAACACCGGUGGCGAAGGCGGCUUCCUGGCCUGUAACUGACGCUCAGGUGCGAAGGCGUGGGGAGCAAACAGGAUUAGAUACCCUGGUAGUCCACGCCCUAAACGAUGGGCACUAGGUGUGGGAGGUAUCGACCCCUUCCGUGCCGCAGCUAACGCAUUAAGUGCCCCGCCUGGGGAGUACGGCCGCAAGGUUGAA